UACGUAGGGUCCGAGCGUUUAAUCGGAAUUACUGGGCGUAAAGCGUGCGCAGGCGGUUUUGUAAGCCAGAUGUGAAAGCCCCGGGCUUAACCUGGGAAUGGCAUUUGGGACUGCAAGGCUGGAGUACGGCAGAGGGAGGUGGAAUUCCAGGUGUAGCAGUGAAAUGCGUAGAUAUCUGGAGGAACACCGAUGGCGAAGGCAGCCUCCUGGGCUAGUACUGACGCUCAUGCACGAAAGCGUGGGGAGCAAACAGG
rnacentral:rRNA from 1 species